CGUGUCUUCAGGUCGCUCCGCGUGCGGUUACCUGAGAGACGCGCGGGUUUCCCGCGCGGCCGCGAUGGCGAGCUCGGCUUCUCAGGAGAACCUCGCGCUGCUCUGCGGCCCGGGAGGCGCCAUGGAGGUGGUGGAGGCCGCCGCGCAGCUGCAGACGCUCAAGUUCGGCGGCUCCGGCCAGGGGUCGGCCGCACCGCCGCCACCCGAGGAGCGCCGGGAGGUCCUGCCGGCCGGGGGGCAGCGGUCGCCGGCCCCGGAGCAGCCGCCGGCGGCCGGGGAGCAGAGGCCGCCAGCCCCGGAGCUGCCACCGCCGGCCCCGGAGCAGCCGCCGCCGGCCCGGGAGCAGCUGCCGCCGGCCCCGAGCUCGGAUGCCGGCGGAAGCCCACCGAAGCCGAGCGGGGCCUGCGUCACCGGGCCGGACGCUGCGGGGCUGCCGCCAGUGCUGCAGGCCUCGGACUCGUCGGACUCGGAUUCGGACAGUGAAACAGAUUCAGAUAGCUCAAGCUCCUCGUCAUCGUCGUCUUCAUCUUCAUCCUGUGUAUCACUCCCUCCUGUGUUGUCAGAUGGAGAUGAGGAUGUCCAAGUUGAGAAAGAAAAUAAGAAUUUUCCUCUUAAAACAAAAGAUGAAUUGCUUCUUAAUGAACUACCUUCUGUUGAAGAACUCACUAUAAUUCUGCCUGAAGACAUUGCACUAAAGCCUCUUGGGAAGGUUUCAAGCAUUAUUGAACAAUUAGUAAUAAUUGAGUCUAUGACUAGCAUACCUCCAGUUAAUGAGGAUACUGUCAUUUUCAAAAGUGAUCGACAAGCAGCAGGGAAGAUAUUUGAGAUAUUUGGACCUGUUGCGCAUCCAUUUUAUGUGUUACGGUUUAAUUCUUCAGAUCACAUUGAGAGUAAAGGUAUCAAAAUAAAUGACACUAUGUAUUUUGCUCCAUCAAUGAAAGACUUCACUCAAUAUAUAUUCACAGAAAAGCUCCAACAGGACAGAGGGUCGGAUGCUUCUUGGAAGAAUGAUCAAGAACCCCCUCCAGAAGCCUUGGAUUUCAGUGACGAUGAGAAAGAAAAAGAAGCCAAACAUAGGAAAAAAUCUCAGAUUCAAGGCCGCAAAAAACUCAAAUCUGAAUUGAAUGAGUCAGGUGAAGAUUUUGGUGAAGUGCAUCAGAAUUGGAAUGUUUAUAGCUCUUCAGAACAUCUAAAAGGAUAUCACAACAGGGAAUUCUCAAGAGGCUUUCUGAGGGGUAGACACUCUCGAGGAAGCCAUGGAAGGCCUCCACCUCAGCAGUACUAUAACUCAGAUCAUAUGGCAUCUCAAGAGAGUUUGGGAUUCACACCUCAGAGACAAGAUAAUCCUGUCAUGCCCCACUAUCCUUUUCCCCCGCCCAUGUUUGAUAUGCAUAACUUUCCACUCCCACCCCCACCCCCUCCCCCGCCCCCACCAGCUGAAAGCAUGGGGUGGGCUGCACCUAGCAUGGCCUCUCAUCCUGUGCUUAACUUACCAUACUCCCUGCCCCCACCACCCUUUCCUCCACCACCUCCCCCUCCUUCUCCUGGGGAAAAUAAUUCUUCUCAUUUUGGACCUUAUUAUUAGUUGUAUGCUUGUAUUUCAGAGAAAUAUGGUAAAAAAUUAGCAUAUAUUAUGGAACUCGAUUAUUUUUUUAAAAAAAAACAUUGUAAAAUACUAAAUCAAAAGAGUCAGUUGUACAUUCAUAUAUAUUUUUAAUAACUCAGUUGUAAGUUCAUAUAUAUUUGUAACCUUUGUGAAAUGGUAGUGCUAGGAACGGUUCAUCUCAUUCUUAGGAAUCUCCAGUUCAUGUAAUAAUUAAAUACAAUGAUGAGUCAUGUCCUCUGCUACCCAUAGCAGGUAAACAGCGUGCAUAGUAAUGGUUAUGACACAGGGUUCAUUACAGCCUCUGAUACACUGAACACUGAGGGAAAACUUGACACUUUUGGUUUGUAAGUACAAGAAUUCUUUUUUUUUUUUAAUUUACACAUUGAAGACUUUAUUGAAAAUAUAAGUUGUUUGCUCCCUUCCUGUAAUAAUAGAGUCUAAAAUCACUUGGAGUCCUAAAAACAAGCAAACUCACAUGUUUGAGUUCUUCUGCUCAUGAAUAUGUUAUCUUUUAAUACUUCUUUUAUCUUUUAUAUAUACAUGGUUAUCUUAGUGCAAAAAUUCUUUUAAAUUUGAUUAACUUAAGCAAGUUAGGAGUGUGAAGGAGGAAGACAUUGGCUGAAGCUCUUGCUAGCUGGUCAGUAUUCACUGUGUAUGACAGACUUGUGUUGUCUAUGUAGCUGUCAGUUAUUUAGAAAGCUUUACUGUUCCGCUGCUUACAUUAAGGCAUGCAUUGGUGUCUGUGUGUAUUCUGUGUCUGAAGGCGCUCCAGUAUCUGACAUGUGUAACGUGUAAUAAAGGCAUAUUAAAUGUCUGAGUGAAUUUAGAGUUUUUAAUUUAAUGAGUGCUUUUUCUGGCAUUCGUGUAAAUGUUAAACGUGGUUAGCGAAUGUUGGAGCGUGAGUAGAAGGCCUGCAGGGUACUCUCCAUUUAUUGACUGAGGAGGAGUCUGAGUGCUCAGAAGGGGCUGCCCUAACCAAGGCCACUGAGCUAUUACAAUGGCAAUGAGUUGAAUCCAGGUUUCUAUUCUUUCUCAGCACCUUACACAGUUGGUGUUUCUAACCUUUCAUUCUUUGACAUUCUUACAAUGCUUUGUAUGGCACACUUAUUCCAAGCCUGUCAGCUCUGUUUGCACUAAGGUCUCCCUUCGCUCCCUACAGAAAGAGGCAUCUGCAGUAUUUGUAGUGGAGAGAUCUCCGCGGACUCUGUCUUGGCACCCGGAGCAACAUGUGCCAGUUUUAUUAUGUUGGGGGUUCUUCUUACCCUCUGAAGAUUGCUCUUUACCAUUCACACUUCAUAUUGGUGGGCAAGCAUCUAUCUUCAGCUAAACACGGUCACCUCUACUUCAUUCCAUUUUCCUGAAAAGGACCUGUGGGGGAGGAAUUCUGAAAUGAUUCAUACAAUCCAUAGGACCACCCAC